GCGCACCAGGCGCGAAACCUCCGCAAUACACGAAAGUGUGACGGGGCCAUCCCGAGUGCCGUCCGCUGAGGACGGCUUUUCCCCAGUGUACACAGCUGGGGGAAUAAGGAGAGGGCAAGCCUGGUGUCAGCCGCCGCGGUAAUACCAGCUCUCCGAGUGGUGGGGACGCUUAUUGGGCCUAAAGCAUCCGUAGCCGGCUGGGCAAGUCCUCCGUUAAAUCCAACGAUUCAAUCGUUGGGCUGCGGGGGAUACUGUCCAGCUUGGGGGCGGGAGAGGCCGACGGUAUUCCCGGGGUAGGGGUGAAAUCCUAUAAUCCCGGGAGGACCACCAGUGGCGAAGGCUGUCGGCUAGAACGCGCCCGACGGUGAGGGAUGAAAGCUGGGGGAGCGAACCGGAUUA
rnacentral:rRNA from 1 species